UCCGGUUUGUCACCGGCAGUCUCCCUAGAGUUCCCACCAUUACGUGCUGGCAACUAGGGACAAGGGUUGCGCUCGUUGCGGGACUUAACCCAACAUCUCACGACACGAGCUGACGACAGCCAUGCAGCACCUGUGUUCUGGUUCCCGAAGGCACUCCCGCAUCUCUGCAGGAUUCCAGACAUGUCAAGGGCAGGUAAGGUUCUUCGCGUUGCAUCGAAUUAAACCACAUGCUCCACCGCUUGUGCGGGUCCCCGUCAAUUCCUUUGAGUUUUAGCCUUGCGGCCGUAAUCCCCAGGCGGAGCACUUAACGCGUUAGCUACGAUACUGCGAGGGUCAAAACCCGCAACAUCUAGUGCUCAUCGUUUACGGCGUGGACUAC
rnacentral:misc_RNA from 1 species